UACGGGGGGGGCAAGCGUUGUUCGGAAUUACUGGGCGUAAAGGGCGCGUAGGCGGCCUUCUAAGUCGAACGUGAAAUCCCUGGGCUCAACCCAGGAACUGCGUCCGAUACUGGUUGGCUUGAAUCCGGGAGAGGGACGUGGAAUUCCAGGUGUAGCGGUGAAAUGCGUAGAUAUCUGGAGGAACACCGGUGGCGAAGGCGACGUCCUGGACCGGUAUUGACGCUGAGGCGCGAAAGCCAGGGGAGCAAACGGG
rnacentral:rRNA from 1 species